rnacentral:sRNA from 1 species
GAUUUGCGUGAAGGAUUGAGGCGGUAUCCUUUUAUGAAGUGAAACGGAAUAAAAGAUAAAGCCGAAAGCCUGACCCGGA